UUAUAUGGCACAGACCUUCCCGCUGAUUAGCCGAUGUGGGACUAAAUUCAGGGAACCCCCAUAACACAGCCCCCCCAGCGGGAAGGUCCUGUGCCCGGGUCGGCUCCUUGCUGGAUAGGCGGAGGGCCGAGGCCCUCCUUCUAGCGCCAUCUGAUGCGGGAUUUGCACCCCGUCACCAGCAGAGCCCGCACACCAGCCGAGCAGGGAAAGCGACUGCGUCCUCACCGAGGUAUUGUCCGCUUUGGGGAUCGUGACCGCUCCCGGGGGUCCGCGCUUUGACGGCGCCCCGGGUGGAACCACCCAUUCCACCCCUCACGGGUUUGCCCUUCAAAAGGCGCCUCGGUUAGAAGAGGUUAUUGAGCCCCCCAUUUAAGGCACAGACCUUUCCGCUGAUUAGCCGAUGUGGGACUAAAUUCGGGGAACCCCCC
rnacentral:lncRNA from 1 species